UACGAAGGGGGCAAGCGUUGUCCGGAAUCAUUGGGCGUAAAGCGCGUGUAGGCGGCCCGGUAAGUCCGCUGUGAAAGUCCAGGGCUCAACCCUGGGAUGCCGGUGGAUACUGUCGGGCUCGAGUCCGGAAGAGGCGAGUGGAAUUCCUGGUGUAGCGGUGAAAUGCGCAGAUAUCAGGAGGAACACCGAUUGCGAAGGCAGCUCGCUGGGACGUAACUGACGCUGAGACGCGAAAGCGUGGGGAGCAAACAGG
rnacentral:rRNA from 1 species